UAGUGGCGAACGGGUGAGUAACACGUGGGCAAUCUGCCCUGCACUCUGGGACAAGCCCUGGAAACGGGGUCUAAUACCGGAUACGAGUUUCACAGGCAUCUGUGAUUCUGGAAAGCUCCGGCGGUGCAGGAUGAGCCCGCGGCCUAUCAGCUUGUUGGUGAGGUAACGGCUCACCAAGGCGACGACGGGUAGCCGGCCUGAGAGGGCGACCGGCCACACUGGGACUGAGACACGGCCCAGACUCCUACGGGAGGCAGCAGUGGGGAAUAUUGCACAAUGGGCGAAAGCCUGAUGCAGCGACGCCGCGUGAGGGAUGACGGCCUUCGGGUUGUAAACCUCUUUCAGCAGGGAAGAAGCGAGAGUGACGGUACCUGCAGAAGAAGCGCCGGCUAACUACGUGCCAGCAGCCGCGGUAAUACGUAGGGCGCAAGCGUUGUCCGGAAUUAUUGGGCGUAAAGAGCUCGUAGGCGGCUUGUCGCGUCGGUUGUGAAAGCCCGGGGCUUAACCCCGGGUCUGCAGUCGAUACGGGCAGGCUAGAGUUCGGUAGGGGAGAUCGGAAUUNCU
rnacentral:rRNA from 2 species